GCGGCGAACGGGUGAGUAACACGUGAGUAACCUGCCCCUGACUCUGGGAUAAGCCCGGGAAACUGGGUCUAAUACCGGAUACGACCACUUCAGGCAUCUGAUGGUGGUGGAAAGAUUUCUUGGUUGGGGAUGGACUCGCGGCCUAUCAGCUUGUUGGUGGGGUAGUGGCCUACCAAGGCGACGACGGGUAGCCGGCCUGAGAGGGCGACCGGCCACACUGGGACUGAGACACGGCCCAGACUCCUACGGGAGGCAGCAGUGGGGAAUAUUGCGCAAUGGGCGGAAGCCUGACGCAGCGACGCCGCGUGGGGGAUGACGGCCUUCGGGUUGUAAACCUCUUUCAGCAGGGACGAAGUUGACGUGUACCUGCAGAAGAAGCGCCGGCUAACUACGUGCCAGCAGCCGCGGUAAUACGUAGGGCGCAAGCGUUGUCCGGAAUUAUUGGGCGUAAAGAGCUCGUAGGUGGCUGGUCGCGUCUGCCGUGAAAGCCCGCAGCUUAACUGCGGGUCUGCGGUGGAUACGGGCCGGCUAGAGGUAGGCAGGGGCAAGUGGAAUUCCUGGUGUAGCGGUGAAAUGCGCAGAUAUCAGGAGGAACACCGGU
rnacentral:rRNA from 1 species